rnacentral:rRNA from 1 species
CCAGACUCCUACGGGAGGCAGCAGUGAGGAAUAUUGGUCAAUGGGCUUACGCCUGAACCAGCCAAGUCGCGUGAGGGAAGACUGCCCUAUGGGUCGUAAACCUCUUUUGUCAGGGAACAAAGGCGGGGACGCGUCCCCGGAUGAGUGUACCUGAAGAAAAAGCAUCGGCUAACUCCGUGCCAGCAGCCGCGGUAAUACGGAGGAUGCGAGCGUUAUCCGGAUUUAUUGGGUUUAAAGGGUGCGUAGGCGGGAUGCCAAGUCAGCGGUAAAAAUGCGGUGCUCAACGCCGUCGAGCCGUUGAAACUGGCGUUCUUGAGUGGGCGAGAAGUAUGCGGAAUGCGUGGUGUAGCGGUGAAAUGCAUAGAUAUCACGCAGAACUCCGAUUGCGAAGGCAGCAUACCGGCGCCCUACUGACGCUGAGGCACGAAAGCGUGGGUAUCGAACAGGAUUAGAUACCCCAGUACUG